rnacentral:misc_RNA from 1 species
GUGAAUCAUCGAAUCUUUGAACGCAACUUGCGCUCCUUGGUCCAAUCGAGGAGUAUGCCUGUUUGAGUGCCGUGUAUCUCUCAACCCCACAAGGUUGGACUUGAGGCGUGUGGUUGGACCUGAGGUCCAUCGCUCCCUUUAAAUGCAUGACCAGCUUUUGAGACGUGAUAGUUCACCGUCGACGAGCAGCGGUCACGAGCUUUCCCCCACCCGGGAUCGCCCAACACACACUUUUUGUUUGACUGGCCUCAAAUCAGGUAGGAUUACCCGCUGAACUUAAGCAUAUCAAUAAGCGGAGGA